UACGGAGGGUGCAAGCGUUAUCCGGAUUCACUGGGUUUAAAGGGUGCGUAGGUGGGGUGGUAAGUCAGUGGUGAAAUCUCCGAGCUUAACUUGGAAACUGCCAUUGAUACUAUCAUUCUUGAAUAUUGUGAAGGUUAGCGGAAUAUGUCAUGUAGCGGUGAAAUGCUUAGAUAUGACAUAGAACACCAAUUGCGAAGGCAGCUGGCUACACAUAUAUUGACACUGAGGCACGAAAGCGUGGGGAUCAAACAGG
rnacentral:rRNA from 1 species